rnacentral:rRNA from 1 species
GUGGGGAAUAUUGGGCAAUGGGCGCAAGCCUGACCCAGCAACGCCGCGUGAGGGAAGAAGGCCUUCGGGUUGUAAACCUCUGUCCUUAGGGACGAAAAAAAUGACGGUACCUAAGGAGGAAGCUCCGGCUAACUACGUGCCAGCAGCCGCGGUAAUACGUAGGGAGCAAGCGUUGUCCGGAAUUACUGGGCGUAAAGGGUGCGUAGGCGGCUUGGCAAGUCAGAUGUGAAAUCCCCGGGCUUAACUCGGGGGGUGCAUUUGAAACUGCUGAGCUUGAGUGCAGGAGAGGAAAGCGGAAUUCCUAGUGUAGCGGUGAAAUGCGUAGAUAUUAGGAGGAACACCAGUGGCGAAGGCGGCUUUCUGGACUGUAACUGACGCUGAGGCACGAAAGCGUGGGGAGCAAACAGGAUUAGAUACCCGUGUAGUCC